UACGAAGGGGGCUAGCGUUGCUCGGAAUUACUGGGCGUAAAGCGCACGUAGGCGGCUUGUUAAGUCGGGGGUGAAAUCCUGGAGCUCAACUCCAGAACUGCCUUCGAUACUGGCGAGCUCGAGUUCGGGAGAGGUGAGUGGAACUGCGAGUGUAGAGGUGAAAUGCGUAGAUAUCUGGAGGAACACCGGUGGCGAAGGCGGCAUCCUGGACCGGCAUUGACGCUGAGGCGCGAAAGCUAGGGGAGCAAACGGG
rnacentral:rRNA from 1 species